UGUCUGUCUCCCUCAUGAAUUCAUAGAUAGUAGAGAGAGGGCAAGGAACAGAGGAAUAGCCAAAGCACCAGGGAGCAAAAACAGGAGUGUUCUUCAAGUUUUUGGCUCUUCAUCAACCAUAGCACCAAGAGAAAGAGAAUGAUGGCCAAGGAGGGAGCUGACUGAAGCUUAAGAGGGAGCUACGUUCCACUCACCCAACUGUUCUUCGAGUUUCUUUGCUAGUUUAUUCAAUUUCUGUUAACACAACUACCACCACAAGCAAAGAGAGGUUUGGGCUCAAGAGAAAAACAGUGA